rnacentral:rRNA from 1 species
GAUGAACGCUGGCGGCGUGCCUAACACAUGCAAGUCGAGCGAAGCACUUACUUUAGAUUUCUUCGGAAUGACGAAGUUUGUGACUGAGCGGCGGACGGGUGAGUAACGCGUGGGCAACCUGCCCUGAACAGGGGGAUAACAGUUAGAAAUGACUGCUAAUACCGCAUAAGCGCACAGCUUCGCAUGAAGCAGUGGGAAAAACUCCGGUGGUACAGGAUGGGCCCGCGUCUGAUUAGCUAGUUGGUAAGGUAACGGCUUACCAAGGCGACGAUCAGUAGCCGAUCUGAGAGGGUGACCGGCCACAUUGGGACUGAGACACGGCCCAAACUCCUACGGGAGGCAGCAGUGGGGAAUCUUGCACAAUGGGGGAAACCCUGAUGCAGCGACGCCGCGUGAGCGAUGAAGUAUUUCGGUAUGUAAAGCUCUAUCAGCAGGGAAGAAAGUGACGGUACCUGACUAAGAAGCCCCGGCUAACUACGUG